AACGAACGCUGGCGGCAUGCUUAACACAUGCAAGUCGAACGCUUCCUUGGGCUUCGGCCCAUGGGGGAGUGGCGCACGGGUGAGUAGCGCGUGGGAACCUGCCCUCUUGUGGGGGAUAACCGCGGGAAACUGCGGCUAAUACCGCAUAAGCCCCUGGGCAACUGGGGGGAAAGAUUUAUCGCGAGAGGAGGGGCCCGCGUCGGAUUAGCUAGUUGGUGGGGUAACGGCCUACCAAGGCUUUGAUCCGUAGCUGGUCUGAGAGGAUGAUCAGCCACAC
rnacentral:rRNA from 1 species